UUUUAAGGAUGAACACUUAGCCCUGAACUAUAGCUCAUUCAGCACUGACUCUUACUCUAAAAAUUGGUGACUUCCACAACAGAAAGACUUAUCUGGAAUUCUUCACACUAUCUCAUGAUUUUACCCCAAAUUUCUUAUCCCCUUGCGUUCUCCAUGAAUGUCAUGUAACCCUUGUUUAACACAUUUCGUGAAUUUUUCUUUUGAAGCCAAACCUAGAGCUCUUCUGAAUCCUAGUUAUCUAUUCGCCUCGUCAAGACCUCGUUUCGUUCACCCUUACCUGUCGCACACUGGAACUUCUGCAAGAAACUUCAAGGUGAGGUAUGGAAGGGUUAUGGAAUUCCUUGCUUAACCAAAGUUGCUUAAAACCCUUUGGUUUCACUCCAAGACUUGGUUAUACUUUCCCAGUGGUUACAACUAGAACUGGGAGUUUAAAUCGAAAACCUGAAUCCUGCACCCUGAGAAGUAACUGCACACAAUUGGGUAGAGACACUGGCACUAGUUCCCAGAGGGUUGGAGUUGAUGCACUGGAUAAUGGUGGUGAUGGAGAGGAAUCUAAUGUGGAGUGGGAAUCUGAGUUUCUUGGGGAAGUUGAUCCGUUGGGUUACCGGGCUCCCUCUAAAAAAAGGGAAAAAGUGCAGAGGUCAAAGUUGCUUGAAGAAACUGAUGAAAUGGAUUGGUGUGUGAGGGCGAGAAAGAAGGCCCUGAAAUCAAUUGAAGCAAGGGGCAUGAGUCAUCUGAUUGAAGAUUUGGUUACUGUUAAGAAGAAAAAGAAGGACAAGAAGAAGUUGGAAAGCAAGAAGAAAAUAAUAGUAAAGAAAAUUGAGAAUAUAGAAGAUCUUGACUUUAGCUUAGAGGACGAGUUCCCACAGCCUAUCAAUCCUCUGAAUGAUGUUGACGAUCUGAAAAGGAGAGUGAGUAUGUUUUCCAAUGGAGUGUUUAUAGAAAAGAAGGAAAAAACAAAGGAAGAAUUUGUCAAUAGGCUUUCUCAAUUCUCUGGGCCAUCUGAUCAUAGAAAAGAAGUCAAUUUGAACAAAGCAAUCACUGAAGCACAGACUGCAGAUGAUGUUUUAGAGAUAACUUAUGAAACAAUUGUUGCAGUUGCAAAAGGCCUAAGCCCUUCUCCUCUGUCCCCCUUGAACAUUGCCACCGCUCUUCAUCGCAUUGCUAAGAAUAUGGAGAAGGUUACUAUGACGAGAACUCGAAGAUUGGCUUUUGCUCGACAAAAGGAGAUGUCUAUGCUUGUUAGUGUUGCGAUGACAGCCUUACCUGAGUGCUCUGCACAAGGAAUCUCGAACAUAUCUUGGGCACUGUCCAAAAUUGGAGGUGAACUGCUUUAUCUUUCAGAAAUGGAUAGAAUUGCAGAGGUUGCACUGACCAAGGUUGGGGAUUUCAACUCCCAAAACAUUGCUAAUAUAGCAGGUGCAUUUGCUGCAAUGCAGCAUUCUGCCCCUGAUCUUUUCUCUGAGUUGUCGAAAAGGGCUUCAAUCAUAAUUCACACUUUUCAAGAACAAGAGCUAGCUCAACUUUUAUGGGCUUUUGCUUCGCUAUAUGAGCCAGCUGACCUUGUAUUUGAUUCUUUAGACAUAGUCUUCAAAGAUAGUUGCCAAUUGAGAGGUUGCACAAGUGAAAAGACAUCAAGUAAUGAUGAACAAAUCAGUGUUGACAGAACUGGUGCCCUAAAUGGAUCUCUGAGCUCUCCUGUACUCACUUUAACGAGGGACCAGCUUGGGACAAUAGCUUGGUCCUAUGCUGUCUUUGGACAAAUGGACAGGAGUUUCUUCUCUCAUGUCUGGAAAACUCUCCGCAAUUAUGAGGAGCAAAGGGUUUCCGAGUUUUACAGGGAGGAUAUCAUGUUUGCUUCUCAAGUUCAUCUUGUAAACCAGUGCUUGAAGCUUGAAUUCCCACAUCUUCAGUUGUCCUUAUGUGGUGAGUUUGAGGAGAAAGUUGCCCUUGCUGGAAAAACUAAAAGGUUUAAUCAGAAAAUAACUUCAUCGUUUCAAAAAGAGGUUGGACGCCUACUCAUAAGCACUGGCCUUGAAUGGGUCAAAGAAUAUGUUGUGGAUGGUUACACUUUGGAUGCUGUGCUUGUUGAUAAGAAGCUUGCUUUGGAGAUUGAUGGUCCAACUCAUUUCUCGAGAAAUACUGGUGUUCCAUUAGGACAUACCAUGUUAAAACGUCGAUACAUCACUGCUUGUGGUUGGAAAGUCGCUUCUGUAUCCCAUCUGGAGUGGGAGGAAACUCAAGGGGCGUUUGAACAAGUAGAGUACCUUAGGAACAUCCUAAAAAAUCAUCUAGAUGAGGGAUACGCCGAAACUACUCUGACUGGGGUAAAGUGAUUAGCCAAUGCUGCUUGUCAAGUGUAAGGAGAUAUCAGAUAUGUAUUUUUUACCAAGCUCCUCUGAUAAAUUUUAGUAAAGGGGGUUGUAUAUUUCUUAGAAAUAUUUCAUUUCAAAAGCAUAAAUUCCAUUUCUCCCCAUUUUGUUUUGCACUAAAAUCACUCUAGUCUCUAAGUUAAACACCAAAAUGAAUUUGCUUCGUAAUAUUACACAAGAUCCAAUUUGACAAUUGACAAUUCUUAAUCAAUUUGCUAUUCAAGUUAAAAUUGCCUGUAAUUUGGACCCUAAUAUUACCAAUUACCAAAUUAAUCUAUUUCGUGUAUUUAGUCCUUUGGCAACAAAGGAUAGCUAGACCAUUGUGUUCAUUGCAAUUUUAUAGAGAUAAUUAAAUAUUAGACGAGAAUAUGUAAUCAAGAAGAGUACCAGUGGUAGAAUAGAACCCUGACACGGUUUAGACUCAGAUUCGUUUCCUGUCUGGUGCACAUUCAAAAGAGCUUUGAUGAAAAAUUCUGUCCAAUUUGUGGGUCAAUUGUUGGUCAUCGCACUCAGGUCUAUGAAGAUAAUGUUUCUGAGCUCUCUUUUUUUUUUUUUCUUGAGUUGUCUUUUUUUCACGCACACAACUCUGACAAUAUCUCAGGUCACAGUCAAAAGAUAAUCCAUGUUUCUGGAGUGCAACUUCUCCUUACCAAACACUAUUUUAACAUUGCAGAAAUCUGUCAUAAGACCAUCUUUUAUUUUGUCUGGAUGUUGCUUGAGAUUUUCCAUGAUUAAACAUAUUUUCUAGCAGGCCAUUAUUUCUUUACUUGGUAGGGCAUAUAAUUGUUGUCAUAAUGACACAAUGGUGCCUACCAAAUUCCAGAACACAAGCAUACAUUACUUUCAAUUUUGUUAUAGCUUGAAGCAUGGGAGGAAAGGAUUGGCUUUGAAUUAACCCUUUAACUUCGUUUACGUUUAAGCCUAAGUAAAAUUAGUUCCAUAGUUUGAUUGGGUUAAAGAAGAAUAUAAAAGAAGUGAAAAAUAUUAUUUCAGAGUGGUUAUUAAGAAACAAAGGAAGAAGCGACUUAAAGUUUUUGCUUAACUAUAUUUAGUACCUUAAAUUUGGGACAAUUUUUAUUUCAGUCCCUCAAUUUAAAUUUUGUAGUUUUUAGACCCUCUAUUGGAAAAAUGUUAUUUUUGGUUCUUUUUAGUCUUUCAAACUCAUUUGGGAUGACUAAAGACAGUAUUUCGUGAAUUUGAAAUACUAAAAUCGGCAAAUUUUAAAUUAGGGAACAGAAACUAAAACUAGUCUAAAUUUGUGAGAUUAAAAAUAGGAUUUUAUUAGUUUUGGGUACCUUCAAAAUUAAUUUGUUUUGAAAUUGGCACCAUAAAAAAUUAUUUAGUAUUUUUUAUACUUAACAUUUAAUAGAUAUAUAAAUUUGAUUUUUUAGUAACUUUAUGUAAUCAUCCAAAAUAAUUAUUUGCAAGUAUGUUGGUUUUUGGAGUUCAAGAUUGCCAUGUUAACACCAUUUAUUCAAAAUACCUAGAAAAAUUACUAUCUAAACCGACUUUAUUUUGUUAACACCUCCCUACUAAUGGUUUUAUUUUAGUCCUUUAUCUAUUGUAAUAUAUGUUAGUCUAUCGUUAGACACAGUCAGAGGGCUUGCACAAUGACAAUGCCUAGCCAUGCUCAUAACAUGACCUACUCGUAUCUACUAAAAUCUACACUCAUCUGCAUUACCAUUGUUGUUUCUCUUGGCUCUUCCAUUUGCUUCAUUUUGCGACUAUGAGCUUAGAUUACAACUAAGGUAAGAACUGGAUCUCUCCAUUUUUGUAUUUGUAUUAUGUUGUUAUAUUUUUCUUCAAUAUUUUAUCACGUUCUCUUGUUUUGUAACAAGUGAUUGAAUCGGUUUAGUAUUGGUCCUUCGUAUUAUUUUCCCCGUCAAUUUUCCUUCUUCCAUGGACCGUUGGACUGCCAAUCUAUUCUACCCCUGAUGGCAAACCUGCAGUCGCUCUCACUUUCUCACGUGCCAAUGCUCUCACCCAUGUAAUUUGGGAGGUGGUUCAUUUGUGAAUUUAAACGCAAUAUCUGAUAUUGAUAUAUGGUUCUGGCCUGGGUCUUGCAUAAUAUAUCCCCUUCUCUGUGCUGAUAAUGGGUAAAAAGCUAAAAAGGAACCAAAGUUUGCUAUUGUGAAAAAGGUUGUCACUUCCAGGAAAAUCUAUAGCUACAAAGAAGAGGUUUUGAACUCAAGAAAAAUCUUAUGAAGGAAAAGUUACCCAGAGACAAAUAAGGAAACAGGCACAAGUGCUAAUUGUUGCAACAUGUGAUCGGGACUUUAAGAGUAGAAUUCGGAAGGAAAGUUCUAUCAUGCAUCAAUUGCAAGAAGACUUUUUGUGAUGACACAAUGGUACUGACUUUAGCUUUAAACAAGGAGAAAAUGCGGCGCAACGGUCGGCAGUUUGAAAUUAGAAGUAAAACACCUUGGCUUCAAAAAAGAAGAUCCUUUUCUUAUUCCCUUUCUCACAUUAUCCGAACAAACAAAACCACUUCUCAUGGCCACCCAAUCAACUACUAUCCAGCUCACCCUUCUCUCAGCGGAAGGUCUUCACGUCAGGGGAAAACCGGCCAACACCAACGUCUUCGCGGUGGUUCGCGCUGACUCCAUUGCCAGCCACACGACGGCGACGGCCACGGAGAGCAACGGGUCGCUGUCCUGGGAGGAGACGUUUUCGUUGAAGGUGGGGCCUUACGCGAGGUGCCUGACGAUUGAAGUGAAGUGCAGGACGGGAGCGGGAGAGAGAGACGUCGGCGUGGCAAGAAUCGCGCUUUCGGAUUUUCUUGGAAGGUCAGUGCCCGGCAAUAGAUUGCAGUUGUGCUACAGGUUGAGGGACUGGGAUGGGAGAGAAAACGGGACCGUUAAUUUCUCCGUCAGAGUGGUGGCGCCGCCACAGCCGCACGCCGCCGCGGACCAGAAUGGUUGUGAGUCGUCGUUGGGUGGAGUUGUUACCGGCAUUCCCGUUUGGUUGGAGGAGUCAGAGACAAGUAACAGGAGCAAUAUUUGAUUCGUUGAAAUGUUUGGUAUCUUUUAGGUUUUGAGUUGAUGGACAACAAACAAGUUGGUCGUUUUGUUUCUGUUUAUUUGACUUUGAAUAUGUCGGAGCUUUCUAGGUUUUCCUUUAAUGUAUUUUUAACUCCUUGUGUUCUGACUUUCUAGUUUUAAGUUAAAAAUGAUUAUUUCAUCUACACAAUUUUUUUUUCACUU